rnacentral:rRNA from 1 species
GUAGGUGGCAAGCGUUGUCCGGAAUUAUUGGGCGUAAAGCGCGCGCAGGCGGGUCCUUUAAGUCUGAUGUGAAAGCCCACGGGCUCAACCGUGGAGGGUCAUUGGAAACUGGGGGACUUGAGUACAGAAGAGGAAAGCGGAAUUCCAAGUGUAGCGGUGAAAUGCGUAGAGAUUUGGAGGAACACCAGUGGCGAAGGCGGCUUUCUGGUCUGUAACUGACGCUGAGGCGCGAAAGCGUGGGGAGCAAACAGGAUUAGAUACCCUGGUAGUCCACGCCGUAAACGAUGAGUGCUAAGUGUCAGGGGGUUUCCGCCCCUUAGUGCUGCAGCUAACGCAUUAAGCACUCCGCCUGGGGAGUACGGCCGCAAGGCUG